UACGUAGGGAGCAAGCGUUGUUCGGAUUUACUGGGCGUAAAGGGCGCGUAGGCGGCAAAUUAAGUCAGCUGUGAAAUCUCCGAGCUUAACUCGGAACGGUCAGCUGAUACUGAUCUGCUAGAGUGCGGAAGGGGCAAUCGGAAUUCUUGGUGUAGCGGUGAAAUGCGUAGAUAUCAAGAGGAACACCUGAGGUGAAGACGGGUUGCUGGGCCGACACUGACGCUGAGUGCGCGAAAGUGUGGGGAGCGAACAGG
rnacentral:rRNA from 1 species